CACAGGAUCUUGGCUAAUGACACAGAAAAAGACCAAGUGCAGACUUGGUGCCUAGUGAGAAAUGGAUGGAAGGUGAUUCUGGAGAAGUCAUAAGUGCAAGCAGACAAAAGAAGCAAGGCAGAGAGACAACUGGAAAGAGAGCGAUGUAUGAAAGCUGCCAGAAAUGAAGUCUUAGCAGAACAGAAUCUGGAAGCCAAGGACAUUUUUCAAGGGGUAGGGAUAACCAUAUGAGGCCAACAAUCUCAAUCAGG